AAAGUAACGUAACACCUUACUUUCCAUAAAAAGUAACUGAGUAAUGCAAUUAGUUACUUUUUUAGGGAGACAAUAUUGUAAUGCAAUACUUUUAAAAGUAACUUUCCCCAACACGGCAAAAUUCUUUUUUGUCCUUCGUUGUGGGGUAAAAAGAAGUUCGAAAUACUUAAGCAGCAGUAUGCUGUUAGCAAACAUCCUGACGCCACCCACACUGCUGAGAGCGGCGUUUGAUGAAUAUGUUAAUGCUGCGUGCUUUUCUUUUCAAUAACAAAAUAAACAUAAAACAAAACUGACAGCGGUAAGAAAACAGUAAAGAAAGCAUGUGAUCAUAGAGAUGUGGAUGUUUGCACGAGCUCUGCAAUUCAGCACUUCAGUAAAGUCAUGUUUAUUUAUAUACCACUUUAUUCAAUAGAUUGUUUAAAAGCAAGCAGCUUUACAGUAUUAAACAUGAAAAAACUGUCAGUGUCUCUUUCAAUUUGAAUUACAACUUAAUUUUCUGCUAUGAAGGGGCUUUCCAGUGUGUUCAUGUUUUCACUCGCAGACAUCUGACCUUGACGGACUGAACAGAAGAAAUGAACUGAAGAUUUCCUGGUCAAAGAAGCUGCUUAAUAAUUUUGUGGAAACCAUAAUUGUUGGAGGUUUCUUUGAUGAAUGUCUUUACUGACCCUUUUGAUAUGUUUAAUGUAUCCUUGCUGAAUAGAGUUUUGCAUGCAUCAGAGAAUCAGUGAAUGAACAGGGGGGUAGCAGAUGAUGGACAACAGGGACUAGUUAGGAGGUGAAUUUAUGUAGUGAUUAAAUAUUUUGCUGUCAUAACCAACAAUGCCACCCUUGGAUCCAUGAGAGUUGCCAUAGAAACGAGCAAUUUCUGAGUCCCAUCGUGUGAACGAUUCAGAGUAGAAUCUGAGUUGUCAUCUCGUAAUUACGGACACCCAGCAAUCAGGAGGGAAGUCUUGCAGGAGAGGCACCAGGAACUGCAGGCAUCCGUCCCAGUGACACAGCAACAACAUCAUGCCAAUCAGAUUAAAGAUUCUUACCACUGCACUCGCCAGGUCAUACGUCAUAUGAAAAAUCUGAAGGAGGAACACAAGGAGGAAAAAGAUUUAUAUUGCUAAUAAUGCAGUGAGAACAGAGCAUCACGGGAGCAAUGCGUCUCAGAAUGACGAGUCACUGCCCUGGAGGAUUCAAAACAAUUAUAUUCAACCCCAAAGACAACAGUCAACGGGAGAAAAGAAGAUGUGUUAUCCAUCUCAUCUUUGCCUACUAAAAGGUGCAGUUUUACUGAGAUACAGAGACAACCCAUUCUAUUAUGGCUCAAUCCCAGAAUGCACUGUGACAAGACAUCAUCCGAAGGCCAUGUGGAUAAGGAAAAAUGACAUUAACCAGUAAUAUCCUACCCUCAGAUGUUUCCAUCCAAUUAUUUCCCGUUCUACAUGAUGUCCCGCUUGAAUAUUCUUUUUCAU